rnacentral:rRNA from 1 species
UACGUAGGGUGCAAGCGUUAAUCGGAAUUACUGGGCGUAAAGCGUGCGCAGGCGGUUGUGCAAGACCGAUGUGAAAUCCCCGGGCUUAACCUGGGAAUGGCAUUGGUGACUGCACGGCUAGAGUGUGUCAGAGGGGGGUAGAAUUCCACGUGUAGCAGUGAAAUGCGUAGAGAUGUGGAGGAACACCGAUGGCGAAGGCAGCCCCCCUGGGUCAAGAUUGACGCUCAUGCACGAAAGCGUGGGGAGCAAACAGG